UGAACGGAAAGGAAAAAAUUAAAUGAUGUAUGUCUGAGUAUAUUCAGAUUGUACUUUAUAUAAUAAAUUACUUUUUAAUGCAGCCACAAUUCCUAAUUUACAUCAAGAAUUGUCCACUUCAGUGGCUCAUUAGAUAAAUUGAGCCCAACUAACCAACACAAGCUUAUUACAAAUGCACAUCUGGAAUGUGAAACUAUUACAGGAAACUCAUUGAAAGAGGAAUUUCCUGUAAAGGGAAUCCUUGAUUUUUCAAUAAAAGAGGAAACAUCUUUUCUGGGUUCAUAUAGAUAAUAUGGAUUUAGCCAUGAUCUGUUCCUCAGUUAUAAUCACUCACUGCCUUUCAAAGAGAGAUUCAUGUCCCUGCAGGUCUCUAUGAGAUACGCCUCUGGAGCAACAGUGGCUGACCUUGGAUCUAUGAGACUGUCCGCCAGUUAGACCGCUAGUGUCGGCUUUAUGCAUGGAGCCCUGUGUAGUGAGCUGCCAGAAUGAGCUGAGGUCUGAAAAUUGCUCAGCAGGACCAAAGCAAACUCCUUUCAUGGUUUCACUUGCCAAUGACCACUGUCUUGAUAACUUUUUUGGAAGAAGAGGCCAUAGUUCAAGAAAAC